rnacentral:rRNA from 1 species
GAUGAACGCUGGCGGCGUGCCUAAUACAUGCAAGUCGAACGCAUUGAGAGAAGUGCUUGCACUUUUCAAUUUGAGUGGCGAACGGGUGAGUAACACGUGGGCAACCUACCUAAUAGCGGGGGAUAACGAGUGGAAACAUUCGCUAAUACCGCAUAACAAUAGAGAAGGCAUCUUCUUUAUUUAAAAGGCGCUUUCAAGCUUCACUAUUAACUGGGCCCGGGGUGCAUUAGUUAGUUGGUGGGGUGAAGGCCUACCAAGACGAUGAUGCAUAGCCGAGGUGCGAGACUGAUCGGCCACAUUGGGACUGAGACACGGCCCAAACUCCUACGGGAGGCUGCAGUAGGGAAUCUUCCACAAUGGACGAAAGUCUGAUGGAGCAACGCCGCGUGUGUGAUGAAGGCUUUCGGGUCGUAAAGCACUGUUGUAUGGGAAGAAAUGCUAGGCUUGGAAAUGAGCUUAGUUUGACGGUACCACACCAGAAAGGGACGGCUAAAUACGUGCCAGCCGCCGCCGUAA